rnacentral:rRNA from 1 species
GAUGAACGCUGACAGAAUGCUUAACACAUGCAAGUCAACUUGAACUUCGGUUUGGGUGGCGGACGGGUGAGUAACGCGUAAAGAACUUGCCUCACAGAUAGGGACAACAUUUGGAAACGAAUGCUAAUACCUGAUAUUAUGAUUAUAUGGCAUCGUAUAAUUAUGAAAGCUAUAUGCGCUGUGAGAGAGCUUUGCGUCCCAUUAGCUAGUUGGAGAGGUAACGGCUCACCAAGGCGAUGAUGGGUAGCCGGCCUGAGAGGGUGAUCGGCCACAAGGGGACUAAGACACGGCCCUUACUCCUACGGGAGGCAGCAGUGGGGAAUAUUGGACAAUGGACCAAGAGUCUGAUCCAGCAAUUCUGUGUGCACGAUGAAGUUUUUCGGAAUGUAAAGUGCUUUCAGUUGGGAAGAAAAAAAUGACGGUACCAACAGAAGAAGUGACGGCUAAAUACGUG